rnacentral:rRNA from 1 species
ACGGGAGGCAGCAGUGAGGAAUAUUGGUCAAUGGUCGAAGGACUGAACCAGCCGAGUAGCGUGAAGGAUGACUGCCCUAUGGGUUGUAAACUUCUUUUAUGCGGGAAUAAAGUGAGCCACGUGUGGCUUUUUGCAUGUACCGCAUGAAUAAGGAUCAGCUAAUUCCGUGCCAGCAGCCGCGGUAAUACGGAAGAUCCGAGCGUUAUCCGGAUUUAUUGGGUUUAAAGGGAGCGUAGGCGGGCCUUUAAGUCAGUGGUCAAAGCGUGUGGCUCAACCAUACCACGCCAUUGAUACUGGAAGCCUUGAGUGCACAUAAGGAUGGUGGAAUUCAUGGUGUAGCGGUGAAAUGCUUAGAUAUCAUGAAGAACUCCGAUUGCGACGGCAGCUGUCCGGGGUGUAACUGACGCUAAUGCUCGAAAGUGCGGGUAUCAAACAGGAUUAGAUACCCUGGUA